CGUGGCUCCCAGGAGGAAAGAAUUCACACCUUCCAGGGCUCCGGCGCUGGGUUAGGGGUGGUGCGGCGUGUGUCCGUGGGGAUCCCGAGUGGGCACCUGAGACACUAGAAACAAAGUGGGCAGGAGCACAGGCAAACCUCCAUCAGAGAAGUUAGUUACGUGAGGGGUAGGGGAGCUCAGCAUCCAUCGUAGGGAGAGGGGAGGGAGAGAGAGACGGCGAAGAGAAUGUGAGAAAGAGAAGAAAUAAAAACGAAGGCACUGAAAGAGAGAGCAAACUAACAGAGACCCACACAAAGACAGGCAGGGAAACGUCCAUGCGUGAGUCAGGGGAACGUGUGGCAGGCGGCCGGAGGCGGGGAAGGGAGAGUCUUGGGAGGGUCAGCGGCCAAAACAAUUGGCUGGGGACAGGGAAAGGCAGGCGGGGCAGGCAAGAGCUGUAGAGAAACACCGGCUGGCGGGGCAGAGGAGAGGGGUGGCCCGUGGACCCCGCGUCUCCCAGCCCCCAAGUUUCCGGCACCUGUCCUCUUGCCCUCUCCCUGAGCCCAGGGACUGACGGGACUGCGGGCUCUCUGGGUCCUGGGUGGAUUUGAAUAAUUAAGUCAUCUGGAUUCUUAUGAUUUACCAUUUUCAAUGAUAAAUAGACAGCGCCCAAGCCAGCCAGUUGGCAAAACUCUGGCUGCUAGUUAUAAUUUGUCAAGCUGCCAGCAGAUUCAUGUUUUAUGCUAAUGGAGAGAGACUCAUUGACUGGGGGAGGCAGUGACCGGGUCAGCUCUUUCCUCAGGCACCCCAGAGGUCGAGAGGUCGGGGGAGAAAGGCCGAGGCUGGUAUGGAUUUUCUGUAAGGGUCAGGGUAAUUUUAUAAUAAUUCAGCGGGUACACACACUCUUGCAUACACAGAGGGUCAUGUAUGCAGAGAUAUGUUCGGAUCUGUGUGCAGCCUGGCCCCCAGCACGCACGCGCACACACGCACCUGCUCCCGUGCGGGCGUCUGGGCCCAGUGCACACAAGCCUGGUGCAGAAAUGCUUGUCCACCUCCCCCCCCCUUGAGCUCACUUGCAUAUGCACACCCUUGCUGUCACCUUCAGGCACGUGAUUGCACCAAGGCAAACCUUAAGUCGGCUAAGCAACCCAGAGAAACACGUCACCCUGCACAGCAACAAUGCACACCUCGAGGAUGGAAAGGGGCACCCGGAGGCCCUAUUCCUCUUUAUCCCCAACACGCAGACACUCGCAGGGUCCCGCGCCCACUUCUGUACGGCGGCCGCCGCUCCAGAGCAAGAUGACCUUGCGGCUCGACACCCAUUUCGUGGCUGCACUUGCUGCCAGGUGUGGCCAGAGGGGAGUGGGAGCCAAGUAAUGUCAUCAGAGCCUUAAGACAUUGGGUAAGUUCUUCUUUCGCGAGCUGGACCCGAUGCACCUGGGACUGAGCUUUGACCGUGCACUUGAGGAGAAGUCCCUAAGAGACAGCAAAGCAACCACAUGGAAGGAAGCCACGUCUCCGACUGACCAGGUGGCACCGAACUGCCUGCCGUCGAGAACUGCUCCGCUGAGACUGUUACACGAAGAAUAAACUUGGUUUCUCUAAGUUCCUGUGUCUGGGG
rnacentral:lncRNA from 1 species